CGUUUCACAAUCUGUGGUAGAGAUGUUAUCUAAGAACGUCCAGAUCAUUAUUCACUAUGAGGAUUAUGUAUUCGUCGAAUUCUCUGUUUCUUAUUAUUGUGAUGAAGCUCAUUGUGAAGUGUUUGAUUCGCCUCGGCACAUAAUAUGGUUA